rnacentral:rRNA from 1 species
AGUGAACGCUGGCGGUAGGCCUAACACAUGCAAGUCGAACGGCAGCACAGUAAGAUCUUGCUCUUACGGGUGGCGAGUGGCGGACGGGUGAGGAAUACAUCGGAAUCUACUUUUUCGUGGGGGAUAACGUAGGGAAACUUACGCUAAUACCGCAUACGACCUACGGGUGAAAGCAGUGGAUCUUCGGACCUUGCGCGAUUGAAUGAGCCGAUGUCGGAUUAGCUAGUUGGCGGGGUAAAGGCCCACCAAGGCGACGAUCCGUAGCUGGUCUGAGAGGAUGAUCAGCCACACUGGAACUGAGACACGGUCCAGACUCCUACGGGAGGCAGCAGUGGGGAAUAUUAGACAAUGGGCGCAAGCCUGAUCCAGCCAUACCGCGUGGGUGAAGAAGGCCUUCGGGUUGUAAAGCCCUUUUGUUGGGAAAGAAAAGCAGCAGGUUAAUACCCCGCUGUUCUGACGGUACCCAAAGAAUAAGCACCGGCUAACUUCGUG